AGAAAGGAUUUCAUCACCGCGACACCCUGAUCACACAGUUACCAGUCCGUUGAAACUCGAUGAAACCCGCACUGAGGCCUUCUCCGUUUCACGAGCGGAUCAGCUGCUCUUGCCCCGUGUGGCCCGCGCUCCUCGCGCUCGAUCCAGGCUUCUCGUCGCGCGAAAGUCUCCAGCGCGCUCCCCCUUCGCUCGAUCCCGCUGCUCGCCGCGCUGAAACCUCCAGGCGCUCCCCCUCCCGCUCGCUCCCCUCCUCCAAAUCCAGCGCUCGCGCCAAAUCCCACCCCAAAUCCUGCACCAAAGCCAUUACCCGCGCCAAAUCCCUCGCUCCCCACCUCUAAAUCGCAUUCUUGAUUUCCCCUCUCUUGACUUUAAUCUUGCGUUCUUGUUGCUCUUGAUUUCCCGUGGAUAUUCUUGGUCCCAGAUCAAUCCUCGUCAUUCUUGCUGCGCUUGAUUGGUGCUGAUUGUAGAUGCCAUUCUUGCAGGCGGGUAGAUCGUUUCUGCAGAACAGGAGGCAGAGCAAUCAUGGCAGGACGGUUGCAGCCAAGUCAUGGGGAGGUGCGCUGCAGGCGAGAAAAGGGGCAGGAUGAACGGUAGUGAUCUGGCAUAGUCCAUCAGGUUUUUGAAGCAGAGCACACUCACACUAGAAAGUUCUUACUUGCUCGAGUCAAAUAGAAAAGGUAUUUAAAGAAUAUCGAGGUUGAGAAGUUCAAUCAUCAAGUGGAAUUGAGGGGAAUGAAAGGGCAAACAGUGAUUUGUAGCUGGGCUUUCACUACUUCCUUUGUACCUGGUUGAAAUGAUCAAUGGAUGAAUUUUUAUAUUUUUUAUGUGCAAACAAUGAUCAAGAAGCUACGGAUUUCGAGAAUACUAUGUAUUUAUAUUUUUGUUUCAUUUCCAAUAGUAGAGAUUGUACUCUCCAUUGCUAUAUAUACUAUGUCAUCGUGUGAACAACUAAUACUUUUGUUCUCUUCCUACAAUCAAUGAAACUUCCUGUCAUUAUUGAAAUUUA